rnacentral:hammerhead_ribozyme from 1 species
ACCUAGCUGACGAGUUCCAAAUAGGACGAGACGCUCGUUCUGGAU